GCCUGGGUGGCUCAGUCCGUUGAGCGGCUGACUGCAGCUCAGAUCAUGAUCUCGGUUUGUGAGUUCGAGCCCCGCAUCAGGCU
rfam:Felis catus isolate Cinnamon breed Abyssinian chromosome B4, whole genome shotgun sequence.